rnacentral:rRNA from 1 species
AGUGAACGCUGGCGGCAGGCCUAACACAUGCAAGUCGAGCGGCAGCGGGUCCUUCGGGAUGCCGGCGAGCGGCGGACGGGUGAGGAAUACAUCGGAAUCUGCCCUGUCGUGGGGGAUAACCUAGGGAAACUUAGGCUAAUACCGCAUACGACCUACGGGUGAAAGCGGGGGAUCGCAAGACCUCGCGCGACAGGAUGAGCCGAUGUCCGAUUAGCUAGUUGGCGGGGUAAAGGCCCACCGAGGCGACGAUCGGUAGCUGGUCUGAGAGGAUGAUCAGCCACACUGGGACUGAGACACGGCCCAGACUCCUACGGGAGGCAGCAGUGGGGAAUAUUGGACAAUGGGCGCAAGCCUGAUCCAGCCAUGCCGCGUGGGUGAAGAAGGCCUUCGGGUUGUAAAGCCCUUUUGUCCGGGAAGAAAUCGUCUGGGCUAAUACCCCGGGCGGAUGACGGUACCGGAAGAAUAAGCACCGGCUAACUUCGUG